rnacentral:rRNA from 1 species
GACGAACGCUGGCGGCGUGCCUAAUACAUGCAAGUAGAACGCUGAAGGAGGAGCUUGCUUCUCUGGAUGAGUUGCGAACGGGUGAGUAACGCGUAGGUAACCUGCCUGGUAGCGGGGGAUAACUAUUGGAAACGAUAGCUAAUACCGCAUAAUAGUAGAUGUUGCAUGACAUUUGCUUAAAAGGUGCAAUUGCAUCACUACCAGAUGGACCUGCGUUGUAUUAGCUAGUUGGUGAGGUAACGGCUCACCAAGGCAACGAUACAUAGCCGACCUGAGAGGGUGAUCGGCCACACUGGGACUGAGACACGGCCCAGACUCCUACGGGAGGCAGCAGUAGGGAAUCUUCGGCAAUAGACGGAAGUCUGACCGAGCAACGCCGCGUGAGUGAAGAAGGUUUUCGGAUCGUAAAGCUCUGUUGUAAGAGAAGAACGAGUGUGAGAGUGGAAAGUUCACACUGUGACGGUAUCUUACCAGAGAGGGACGGCUAACUACGUG